CACACAACAUCCAAACUCUAGUCUUUCUUCUUCCUUUGGAAACAAACAGACUACAUUGCUCUCUCAACUGCGGCGUGACUCCAUCUCUUGGCAUAGGAAGACGUUUAUCUUGGUAGAGAUUGAUGGUGUCUCUAACGAAUUGGUGGUGGCUUCUCUUGACGGUUCUCUAUUCGAAGAAGAAGGUAAAUAAUUUUGUUUUGGUUUACAUAUUUAUAGUUUUAUUUUUAUCAUGGAUUUUCGUUUUCAUAGUACAUAUGUUGUGAUUCCUGCAAUUCGCUAGGUUUAUGCAACGGGAAAUCUGCACUUUGUUUUUUUUUGUCUACCCAAAAUAUUGAAUCCGCAAAACUCUUAAAUUGGUUCAGAAUAUUGAAUCCGCAAAACUCUUAAAUUGGUGCAUCUGUAAAUUUUUCGGAUUGGUGAGUCUGAUAAUCUUCAAGAUUUAUGGAUUUGUAGUAUGUUUUCCGAUUUCAUAAUCUAUAAUAAAAAAAUGUAUCCGGAAUUACAAAUCCAUAAUUCAAAAAAUGAAUGAAACUCCCUAAAUUCUAACGUGUGUCCUAUUAAUUUUUAAAUUUCAGAAUUGUCCUUUAUUCCGUAAUUAAAAAUUACAUUAUGAAAAACGAGAUGCAUAAUAGAUUUUUUAUGUUCCAAAAAUAAAUUUUCUAAUAUUAUUAAAAAACCAAAAUCUCAUUCUAAAAAGAUAAAUCUGAAAUACAAAUAAUACAUUCCAAAAUAAAUUCUACAAAAUCAAAUCUGAAAACAUAUUUUGGAAAAAAAAUUUAGAAAACAAAAAUCCAGAAACAUAUUUUAAGAAGACUAUUAUGAAAAAUUAUUCCAAAAAGCUAUUUCAAAAAACCUGAUCCAUAAAAGUGUUCUAGAAACGCAAAUUCAAAAUUAUAUUAUGAAAUACAUACAUUUGACUUACAUUCCCUCCUACUUAAAAACAAAAGAGGACACUUUUUUUCAUUUCACAACAAUGAUAAGGUGCAGGUUCAGAUUUAUUUGAUGGUGGAAACAAAAGGACAACUUCUUCUUACACCCAAUCAUUUUUAACUUGCACCCAACAUAACUUUUUAUUUCCAAAAAUGCCCUUCAUUCUGAAAAUAAAAAUCCAAAAUUAAAAAUAAUACAUUAUAGAAAAGUAUAUUCAGAAUUUAAAAUUCAAAAUCUCAUUCUCGAUAAAAAAAAAUCCAGAAACAUUAUGAAAAAAGGAUCCAUAAUGUAUAAUCCUAUUUAUUUAAGGGUAUCUUCGUCUUUUCAUACUGAAAUUUGGUGCAGAAAGUAAUUGCCAACCAAAGCCUUAUUUUUGUCCAGUUCAGAAGCAUUGAAUUGUCACCUUUUGUUCUCUUCUUUUUGCACCCCAUUAUUUUCUUCUGCAGCUCAUAAAUACUAAAAUCCCUAUAUUGCCCUUUGUUUAAAAGUUCGUCCUGGAAUUGACCAUACGGAAACCUACAAUCCAAAACUUAGAAAAAAUAUACCAAAUUUCACAAUCCAAGUUAAGUUAAUUUUCACUUCUAAAUUUGGUAAUCCAGAAAAGAAAAUCUGGAAGUUCUUUUUUCUUAUACCAAAAAAGUGAUUUUUGAAUUAUAUAAUUAAAAAUAUAUUUUUAACUUUUAAAGUAACUCUUGGAUAAAAUCCAAAAAAUAUUUUUUUAAUAAAAAAACUUUAAUUUAAAACACACUUUUGAAUAAUUCAAAAAGUCAUUUUCUUGUAUAGAAAAAACUUUUAAAUACAAUUCAUAAGUAUGGUUCAAAUCCGAAUAUUUUUUCUGAGUCCACAACAUAACACAUGAAAAAAGAAAGAAAGAUAACCACACCAUAUCUGUCUCACUCAGUACCUCUUCAGCUCACUCAAACCUUCACCUCUUAACUCAUACCAAAAAAUAUUAAAAUUUACUAAAUAUUAUUGUAUAUUAAUUUUGCAUGCAUUUUUUGAGAAAUGAAAAAGACCAAGUUUUAUAGACUUAACUCUACAAGACUCCUUAAAAGACCAAGUUUUAUACCUCAAUUCCUUGCAAUAGUUUAUUGGCACCCCAUACACAACGUGAAAAUACCUUUUUAACCUUCUUGUGUCACCUCCAUAAAGUAGUUUUUGGAUUCUGUAAUCCAGACACGCACUUGAAAAAAGACUUCCAGAUUAUGUAAUACGAAAGCUAAUUACGAAUUUUGAAAAAAGAUUUCUGGAUUAUGUAAUCCGGAAGCUAAUUACGAAUUUGAAAAAAGACUUCCAAAAGAAUUAUUUUUGGAAAUAUAAAAAUGUAUGGAGGUGAAUAUAUGGAGGUGCAGGAAGAAACAACCUAGUUUAUCUCAGAAUCUUCAAAUAGAGAUAUGGGAAAUCUUCAACCUUAAGGAGCGGUGUAUAGAUGGAGGUGUAGGUGGAAAACGAAGGAAAUGAGAAGAAAAGAAAAAGUAAAAUGUGAGGUUAAGAAAAAAUAAUUUAUAAUACAUUUAAUUAAUGUGAUAGAAAAUAUUAAAUUAAUUAAAUAAUAUAAUAAAUUAUAAAAAUAUUCUUCAUUUAAUUUUAAUAAGAAUGGAUAUGAACUGAAAUUUAAAAAUGAUUAAUUUUAUAAAAGAAUUCAUUUAUAAAAUUUAUGUGAAUUUAAAGAAUAGUUAAACUUUUAAUUUUUUUGUCAAUAUUUAUUUUACAUGAAAACAAAAAAAUAAUUAGUAUUAUCAAAUUAAUAUUUAAUUAAACUUAAUUUUGUUUCAAUUCAAAUAAAAAAAUUAGAGUAAUUAAAAGUUGUAAGAUCAGUUUAAAUUAGAAGUGUAGAAGCAUUAUACCAAAAUAUAUUUUUAUGUGUCACAUUUUUUUAUUAUAUUUACUUCUAAUAUUAAUUUUAUGAUAUUUUUUUAUUAUUUAAAUUCAAAGUAAAUAUAAACUCAAUUCCCUUAAAAUGUUUUUAAAUCAAUAACAAAUAUUUUUUGGACAAUUUAAUUACAAAUACUAUAAAAGAAACAUAUUUAGUAUUUUAAAUUUAAAUAAUUUAUGUCACAUGAUACAAAUAUAAAACACAAAUUUUUUACACUAUUUUUAAUUUUUAUAAUUACGUAAUAAUAGAAACUAUUUAGAUAUUAAUAAUUUUUUAAUCUAUAAAAUAAUAUAUAAUUUAUUUAAUAUAAUAAAUAAUUAUUUUUAUCUUUAAAAUUAUUUUUAUUAAUAAUUUUCUUGUAGUACAUAUUAAUAAUAUAUACUACAAGAAAAUCAUUAAAUAAAAAUUAAUUUCAGAGAAAAAAAUUUAUUAAUUUUAAUAUUGAUUAAAUCAGAUAUUAUUUUAGAAACUAAAAAAUUUAUUAUAUCUAAAUUAGUUUCUAUUAUUCUAAUUAAAUAUCAAUUUAAAAACUAUUUAUCAAUAAUUUAGUUUUUAUAUUGACUAAUUUACAUACCAAAAAAAAUUAUAACAGUUAAUUAUUUUUAUCCUAAAAUUGAUUACUAUUUAAUGAUUUCAUUGUAAUGAUAUAUCUUAUUAUAGUUAAUUAAUUAUUAAAAAAAUAUACCAUAUAAAAAUUUAAAUUUACUAUAUAUUUUUUUAAAAAAACUCAUGAAAUAUAGUUAGCUUAAUAUAUUAAGUACACUUAUAAUCUGAUACAUAAAAAGGUUAUUUCUUAAUUUCUAUUUCUAGUUGUUAUUUAAAGAAAAAUAACAUUUUAACUAUAUAUAAUUAUUGGUAAAUAAAUAGUUUCUAUUAUUAAUAAAUAGUUUUUAAUUUAAUAUCUAAUUAAUUAAUAAAGUCAGUAUCCUAAAUAUACUUUUAAUUAAAUAAUUUAAAAUUAAUCUUGAGUGUAUGUAUUAGUAAAACAAUAAAUGCUAUUAUUUUAUAUUUACACACACAUAUGUUUUACUAUCACUUUUAGGUUUCGAAAUAAAUAUUAUCAACUUAAAGAUACUAUAAUAAACAAACUUAAAUUACCUUAAUUUUAUAAUUAGUAUAGAUAAAUUUAUUUUUAUUCAAUAUAACUAUGUUAAAUUUGAUUAGAUCUCAUAUUGAUUACUGUAAUUUUACUAUAUAACACGUGAAGCCUACCACAUUUUAUUGGGAAAAUCAUGAUAAUUUGAUCAGAAAACUAUCCAUAAUGAUCUUACCAACGAGAUUAUUUUUACUCAUAAAAAAAAAUUGUACUUUAUCCUUUAACACCUCAAAAGUAAUAAAGGACCAAGUACAAAUGAAACAAAAAAAAAAUGAGAAAAAGAAAAAAAAAAGAAAAUCAAGAGAAAGUUCUUAGGGGCUAUGCUGAGGCGUGGGAGAAGAGUGCUCCUUCCCACAAGGUCAUUCGGAUGGAAGAAAAAUUUGAAAAAAAUAAAGUUGAAAAGAUACUUCUAUCUGAACAACCUUUAGGCCUCCUUCUGUGUAAAGGAGCACCUAUAUGCACUGCCACACUUGCUGAAUUUAGUGAUCUACCUCCUCAAGUCAAAAGGCUUUUAAAAAAAAUUGGUGAUGUAUUCCCUAAGGAAGGACCCAUUGGACUCCCACCUUUUAGGGGUAUAGAACACCAAAUAGAUUUAGUUCCAGGAGCUAGUCUACCAAAUAAAUCGGCUUAUAAAACUAAUCCUGAGGAGACUAAGGAGAUAAAAUCACAAGUUCAAACAUUGUUGGAGAAGGGCUGGGUUCAAAAGAGUCUAAGCCCUUGUGUUGUACCUGUUUUGUUGGUGCCUAAGAAAGAUGACAAAUGGAGAAUGUGUUGUGGUUAUAGAACCAUCAAUAACAUCACCAUCAAAUAUAGGCAUCCAAUUCCUAGACUUGAUGAUAUUCUUGAUGAAUUGCAUGGGUCCACUAUAUUUUACAAGAUUGAUCUCAAAAACGGAUAUCACCAAAUAAGAAUUAAAGAGGGUGAUGAAUGGAAAACUGCUUUUAAGACCAAGUUUGGACUAGUUAGUGAUGCCUUUUGGACUCACUAAUGCACCUAUAACUUUCAUGAGGCUUAUGAAUCAUGUCCUUAGGGAUUGCAUAGGUAAAUUUGUAGUAGUUUAUUUUGAUGAUAUAUUAGUAUAUAGUCAAAGCCUAGAGUCCCACCUAAGUCACCUUAUGGAGGUUCUAUUAGUUCUUAGGAAUAAUAAUUUGUUUGCUAAUGUAGAUAAAUGCACUUUUUUAUGUAGAUAGUGUAGUGUUUUUAGGAUUUAUAGUCAACAAAAAGGGGGUUCAUGUUGACUCCAAGAAAAUCAAAGCCAUCCAAGAAUGGCCAACACCACAAAUGUAGGAGAUGUUAGGAGCUUCUAUGGCUUAACAAGUUUUUAUAGAAGAUUUGUUCCUAAUUUCUCAAUUCUAGCUUCACCACUCAAUGAGUCAGUGAAGAAAGAAACUCCAUUUUGUCAAACUGAGAAGCAUGAACAAGCCUUUCAAAGGUUAAAAGCUCAACUCACUAAUGCGCCCAUUCUAGCUUUACCAAACUUUCCAAAAACUGUUGAGCUAGAAAGUGAUGCAUCAGGAGUAGGAAUAGGUGUUGUGUUGUUGUAGGAUGGGCACCCAAUUGCAUAUUUUAGUGAAAAACUUCAUGGUGCAGCCCUCAAAUACCCCACUUAAGACAGAGCUUUAUGCACUUCAGAGGGUCCUGUAGACUUGGGAACACUAUCUAGUCUCAAAAGAAUUGGUCAUACAUAGUGAUCAUGAGUCUUUGAAAUAUUUGGAGGAUCAACACAAGUUGAACAAAAGACAUGCAAAGUGGAUGGAAUUUCUUGAGCAUUUUCCAUAUGUUAUCAAAUAUGGCAGAUGUUCUAUCAAUGAGACAUGCCCUCUUUUCUAAACUUGGAACCCAAAUCCUUGGAUUUGAAAACAUACCUGAACUUUAUAAAGAAGAUCAGGAUUUCGCUCCCACUUUUGCUAAGUGCCAACAUAGAGCACAAAGAGGUUUUUAUGUUUCGGAGGGGUACUUAUUUAAAGAAGGAAAACUUUGCAUACCUCGAGGAACACAUAGAAAACUCAUUGUAAAAGAAUCACAUGAAGGAGGACUCAUGGGCCAUUUUGGAGUUGAUAAAACUAUUGAGCUUUUAAAAGGAAAAUUUUUUUGGCCACACAUGAGGAAAGAUGUUCAAAGAUAUUGUCAUAUAUGCAUUUCAUGUUUAAAAGCUAAGUCUAAGACAAUGCCUCAUGGAGUCUACACUCCUUUACCUUUUGCGAAAAUAUAAGCAUGGAUUUCAUAUUAGGACUUCCUAGGACACAAAGAGGUUUUGAUUCCAUCUUUGUGGAAGUGGAUAGGUUUAGCAAGAUAACUCAUUUUAUAUCCUGUCAUAAAGUGGAUGAUGAUAACAACAUCUCUAGGCUCUUCUUCAGAGAAAUGAUGUAAGACUACAUGGUUUGCCUAAGACCAUAGUGUCGGAUAGAGAUCCUAAAUUUAUUGGCCAUUUCUGAAGAACUCUAUGGGAAAGGCUAGGAACUAAGUUGAACUUCUCAACUUCUUGUCAUCCUCAAACGGAUGGACAAACUGAAGUUGUAAAUAGAUAUCUUUCCACUAUGCUUAGGUCAAUCAUGAAGGGAAACCACAAAUCUUGGGAUGAGUACCUUCCUCAUAUUGAGUUUGUAUAUAAUAGAGUAGUUCAUAAAACUACUAAUAUUUCUCCAUUUGAGAUUGUGUAUGGAUUUAAUCCUCUUACUCCUUUGGAUUGGUUACCUCUACCUAAUCCACAAGAAUUUGUGCACAAGGAAGGAGUAACAAAAGCCGAAUUUGUAAAGAAAAUGCAUGAAAGGAUUAAAAACCAAAUACAGAAACAAAUAUAGAAACACAUGAAACAUAACAAUAAUGGGAAGAAAGAGAUGGUUUUUGAAGAGGGAGAUUGGGUUUGGCUUCACCUUAGAAAGGAUAGAUUUCAUAAUCAAAGAAAGUCUAAGCUUAGUCCCCGGGAAGAUGGUCCUUUCCAACUCCUCAAGAAAAUCAAUAAUAAUGCAUAUCAAAUUGACAUGCCUGAGAAAUAUGGAGUACAUACUACCUUCAAUGUUAUGGAUAUAACCCCUUUUGCAGGUAGUGAAGAUGAAUAGGCAGAACACAUGCGAUUUUAGGACAAAUCCUCUUUAAGAGGGAGGGGAUGAUGGAAGAAGGCCAAGCUCGGGCCCAAUUACUAGGUCCAUAGCAAGAAAGAUACAAGAAUACUAGGACUCCACUACUAAUGGCAAAGACACCCUUCUAUAUAUGUUAAAAAAUGUCAUAACCUAGUGUAAAUUGUAUAAAGUUGUUUAGGAUUUCAUGGGUCAUGUAUUGACAUAGUAGCAUAAAAUAAUUGGACCAAAUAUUUGGGCCAAGUAGCAUAGGUUUUUGGGCUUUUAUUUGGACCAAUAGUAAAAUAGGUCUAGUUGGAGUUAAAAUUAAUUGUGUUGGUGAAAAUUUUUGAAAUUCUGGAUUUGAGCAGUUUGAUGUGUUAAGAAAAAAGUGAAAAAAAAGAAGUAUAUCCAAAUUCAAAAUAGAAAAAAAUGGUAAAUGAAAAAUGGACAGAAUGCAAAAAAACACGACUCUUGAAAAUUUGAAUUGGC
rnacentral:lncRNA from 1 species